CAGAUUGGGAUGGUUGAGUAUCUCGCCUCUCCGUUCUGCCUGUAUUCUACCCUUGUUUGUCAUAUACUAUUAUUUCCUCGGCAGGCUUGCCUGCCGAGUGAAACCAUUUAUAACCUUUUUAAUUUUCAAUCAGCGUCUGAAAAAAUUAAUAAUUACAACUUUCAACAACGGAUCUCUUGGUUCUGGCAUCGAUGAAGAACGCAGCGAAAUGCGAUAAGUAGUGUGAAUUGCAGAAUUCAGUGAAUCAUCGAAUCUUUGAACGCACAUUGCGCCCCUUGGUAUUCCAUGGGGCAUGCCUGUUCGAGCGUCAUUUGUACCUUCAAGCUUUGCUUGGUGUUGGGUGUUUGUCCCGAGGGACUCGCCUUAAAGUAAUUGGCAGCCAGUGUUUGGUUUUGAAGCGCAGCACAAGUCGCGAUUCAAGGCUACACGCCCGCUUCCACAAGCCUUUUUCACUUUUGACCUCGGAUCAGGUAGGGAUACCCGCUGAACUUAAGCAUAUCAAUAAGUCGGAGGAA
rnacentral:rRNA from 1 species